UACAGAGGGGGCAAGCGUUGUUCGGAAUUACUGGGCGUAAAGGGCGCGUAGGCGGCCCUCUAAGUCAGACGUGAAAUCCCUCGGCUCAACCGGGGAACUGCGUCUGAUACUGGACGGCUUGAGUAUGGGAGAGGGAUGUAGAAUUCCAGGUGUAGCGGUGAAAUGCGUAGAUAUCUGGAGGAAUACCGGUGGCGAAGGCGGCAUCCUGGACCAUUACUGACGCUGAGGCGCGAAAGCUAGGGGAGCAAACGGG
rnacentral:rRNA from 1 species